CCCUUAGAUGUUCUGGGCCGCACGCGUGCUACACUGAACGGUUCAAUGGGUAAGGUAGUGCGAAAGCAUGACCUAAUCUCGAAAUCCGUUCGUGCUGGGGAUAGAAGCUUGCAAUUAUCCUUCUUGAACGAGGAAUACCUUGUAAGCGUGAGUCAUCAUCUCACGCUGAAUACGUCCCUGCCCUUUGUACACACCGCCCGUCGCUCCUACCGAUUGAGUGUUCCGGUGAGGCUUUGGGAGAAUGGCCUCAACAUGAGUUUAUCGUGUUUCGCCGUUUGAACUUAGUCAAACCUUAUCACUUAGAGGAAGGAGAAGUCGUAACA
rnacentral:rRNA from 1 species